UACGUAGGGCGCAAGCGUUAUCCGGAAUUAUUGGGCGUAAAGAGCUCGUAGGCGGUUCGGUAAGUCGGGUGUGAAACCUCCAGGCUCAACCUGGAGAUGCCACCUGAUACUGCUGUGACUCGAGUCCGGUAGGGGAGCGUGGAAUUCCUGGUGUAGCGGUGAAAUGCGCAGAUAUCAGGAGGAACACCAGCGGCGAAGGCGGCGCUCUGGGGCCGGAACUGACGCUGAGGAGCGAAAGCGUGGGUAGCAAACAGG
rnacentral:rRNA from 1 species